AUUGAACGCUGGCGGCAUGCCUUACACAUGCAAGUCGAACGGCAGCGGACCUUCGGGUGCCGGCGAGUGGCGAACGGGUGAGUAAUAUAUCGGAACGUACCUUUCAGUGGGGGAUAACGUAGCGAAAGUUACGCUGAUACCGCAUAUUCUGUGAGCAGGAAAGCAGGGGAUCGCAAGACCUUGCGCUGAUUGAGCGGCCGAUAUCAGAUUAGCUAGUUGGUGAGGUAAAGGCUCACCAAGGCGACGAUCUGUAGCGGGUCUGAGAGGAUGAUCCGCCACACUGGAACUGAGACACGGUCCAGACUCCUACGGGAGGCAGCAGUGGGGAAUUUUGGACAAUGGGCGCAAGCCUGAUCCAGCCAUGCCGCGUGAGUGAAGAAGGCCUGG
rnacentral:rRNA from 1 species